GCGUUGAACCUCCCGCAGUCUAUCCCCUUUGCGUUAGUUCCACUUCCACAUUGCUCCACCUCCCUUGGCUCCUCACCUCCAAGAACGCGCGCAGCACCAAAUGCAGCCGCCUAUUCCCCUUCCACUUUCACUUUAAUUCCCAACCAAUCUGGCCUUCGCUACUCUAUCUUCUUGGUUCGCAUCUCCAAAUCUGACACCAGUGGGAGAUGCGGCCUCCCACGCUCGCAAGCGACGCCAAAUCGGCGGCUGCCCGUCCAUGAGUACUCGCCUCCCUCCGGUGGGAAUCAGUGCCCAGCUGGCCUGAUGUUGUUGCUGAUGUGCUCUUCCUGUAGUUCAACGCGGCGUGCCUCGUCGGCAGGCCGACAGCGCCGGUUGCCGAACUCUAGCCCUUGGGCGGAGAGGUAGGGGUCUCCGACGUUCGUCUCCCAGGAACGCUGUGGUGGAAGGAUGUUGUUCGGCACCACUGACCAUGCCCUCAGAGGCGCAGCGGUGGGGAUCAGGAGUAGGCUUCUAUAUAUAUUUGAGAUGAGGCUAUGGAGCAGAUUGUCAAGUAUAUCAACCAGAGAUACAAGAAUACAUCUGUGUAUGUUUCUGACAAUGUUUACUUGCAAAACGGUGAAGCAGUAUGGAGGACUUGAUCGUUGACACCAGAAGAAAUCAGUACCUGCAGGGCAGCAGGUGUAUCUUACAUCUAUCUCUUCAGCAGUCACCAGUCAGGUACGUGUAAUGGAACUAUGUAUGUGCAUUCUAUUAAUUUUGCAUCUGACGGAGAAACACAUCGAUCAUAUUCUUAAUUCAUGCGUGUUAUGCCGUUCUGACAUACUUCACCCAUGACACUUUUUUUUACAUAUAAACUAAACCAGAAAAAGAUUCUGCAAAUAGUGUGUUUCUCUCAUGCUCAUUCUGUUAGCCUACAUACCUCUUUAGAGAGCACAAGCUCCCAUAUCUGAAUUUUAUUUUCGACAUUGAGUUAUCAUAAGCGUAUUCUGUUAGUCUACUUACUAAUUUAGAGAGCAUGGGAAUAUGAUCCUGAUGGCUUCUAUUUGUUACAGUUGAAAAAUAUGAUACGAUACGUAGAUAGCUUAUAUUCAGAUUUGUUCAGAUCUCACCUGUCACAAGUGUCGGACAAUUUUCUUCUGAUGGCAAGGAUGUAGGACUAUUUGGUGGUCCUUGCUGCAUAAUAUUGUUGCCGCUCCCAUUAAUAAACAAGUAUAGGACGAGACAAAAUUUUCAGCGGGUGGCUCAAACGGGGUGGUCCAUGCAUACAACAGUCUUACCCUGCCCUCCCGAAUUCUUCAUUUCCUUAGCUUCUACAUUCAACCAACUGAACUUACCAUUUUUUAUGGUAUAAGCAUGGAUGAGUUGAUUGGCUCCGUUCACUUUAUUUCUCCUACUUAUAGGAGCGUCAGUGGUUUUAAUCGUGCUGCCAUUGCCUGGCACUUGGUGAGAGACCUAUGUGAUAUUAGAGCACUUUCAUGUAACCUCUUUUGAGGUACCUCUAUUCAGGUACAGUUUCUAAAAGAAUAGAUAAGUUGCAUCACUGAGAGGUAAAGGUUUUGCUUUUUUGGCAACAAUCGACAUAUUUGGACAAAGUCCAUGUGUAAUAGUGUUACUUUACUGGGGUUUUGUCGUACAUUUAUUUGAUCCGUUUGAUUGGUGAUAUAUCAGUAUCUCAUUUGGUUGGUACUGCAUAUUUGAACAAUGGACACAUUAUCGCAGUUUCAUCUGGUAGUAUUUUCACAUUGCACAUAAACCAUACACUUGCAAUUUGAGUUCACAAGUUUUACUUGAUUGCUCAUUUUAAUCAAAGCACUAUUAAUCUCUACUUUGGCAACACCCCACCAUUAACUUCCUUUAUAUUUAGCUUAGUGAUGGUAAGAAUUAUUUUUGUAUUUAGCUGAAUACAAGGUGCAGACAACUUUGUCAGGAAAAAAAGAUCGAAAAGGGUAAUAACAAUAAUUAUUUUUUCCAACAGAGCCAAGCAACCUAUUAGUAAGUCCAUUGCUUUCUUAACUCUAGCAAGUCAAUUUAGCUGUCUUUUGUUUGCGGAAAUUCCAUUUAAGUGUCAGUAUUUAUUUUAAUAUUAUUUGAAUUUAUAUAAAUUGUAUGAAACUAUGCAUGUGUUAUUUUUGUUAGGUUGCACAUGUGUACGCAUCAAUAGGUCCUUAUAAAAUGUUCCGCAGCAACGCGCGGGGUAUCAUCUAGUUCUCCUAAUGAUGUGAUCCCGUUAUCAAUGACAUCUAAUGUCCAUGGUCAGGAAACCAUAACCAUCUAUUGAUCAUCGAGCUAGUCAACUAGAGGCUCACUAUG